UAUUCAUUUUUAACACCAUUAAAAAAAAGUUAACAAUAUCUAUACACAUUCCUUGGUAUUUUACCCUAGCAUAACUGCUUCAAUCACAUAAUCAUUAUUUCAAUCAAUUAACUGGUUCCGUUAUCUCAUCAUCUCUUAAUAAAUCAUAUAUAUUGAUAGCCACCUGCUUCGUACACAUUUCAAACUAAUAUUUCAGACACCAAACGCAAAGCCUAUCCCAAGGCAAUGCCCCAUUUGCGUGGUAAAGGGCAAGACGACUAUGUACCUCUGGGUAACAGAUCACGUUCGCUGGGUGCAAGCGCUGACGGCAGACCCCAUGAAGCCGUUAAUGUCAGAGGCACGUGCUAAGACCGGGCGGAAAGUGAAGAAGACAAAGCCGAGGAAUUACUACUCUUGCUGGCUGUGCGACCGGUCGGUGAUUGACCGGCUGCGUCAUCUAGAACAGGAGCACAAAAUGGAGGCUGGGACAUUCAAUUUCGUUUACACAAGAGGGCCGUUUCCGGAAGGUCGUGAAAACUUCAGGAAAGGUGACCAGCAGACUCGCCACUCAUGAUUAUUGGCAUAGGAGGAUGAGAAGGUUGAGGAGGAGGAGGAAGAAGACUUUUCGUUCCUAACGCGGAAAUACUGCCUGAGCCUGGAACCCAAUGCAAGGGUGAUGCAUGGUCGGAGAAGCUGCAACUUCAAUCGUUGACUCAUAUGAUGACUACAUGUUCCUGCGGAGCAGGCCAGGUGGGUUGGCAAACGAGUCGAAAACACAAGAGGUCAACAUGAAGAUCAACCGGUUCCUGGCCCUGUCUGGCUACUUGGAAGGAGCGGUGUUGAGUGACGUGCUGUUGUGGAAGAGCCAUAUGGAGGUCCACGACAGUUCCUCAACACCACUAACCAGCUGAAGACGGUGCGGACUGCACUAACGGCAAUCAAGAACUUCCUGAAGUGGUGCGAGGGAAUGGUCUAGCGGACGCCCGCGCAUUGAACAAUGCUGAUCUCCUUCUCACAGGCUGCCUGACCUCAACCGCCUGGAUAUGAGCCGUCGCAAGGUUGUUCGGAGGGUAGAGGAGAGUGCGGCCAUCCUGACGGACGCAAACCUGGAGCGCGACUUCACUGAGAGUGAGCAUGUAGUGAAAACGAUCAAGCUGUUCCAGGACACCCCGCUGGCACACCUGAAAGAUAUUCGGGGAAUAAUUAUUAAACUGAUAGCGCUCUAUAACGCCUCCUGAACCGGCAAGUAUACAAACCUGAGGGUAUGUAAUAUAAAUAAGCCUAGUAUUGAUUCGAAAAGAUAACCCUAAAUUACUUUUCAGACCAGAGUUGUUUUUCAGUAGCAAUUGCAUAGAAUUGAAUGAAACUUGAAGUUAAUAGGCGUUAAAAUUGGGUUUAUUUAAGUAUACAACAAAGCUGUUCGCCUGUUAAUUGACCGACUUGUCUUAUGUAUAAUAUUUUUACCAGAUUGUUACCUUGAAGACAGAUAAACUAUAAUGCAAAAGUUCAUUUUGACAUUCCAAGUUCGGGAAAGGCCUUGAAGCCAUUGUAAAAUUAAACUGUUAUGGCCCCUUAAUUGAUUGAAAAUUUCAAAUUUCUG